AUUAAUAUUAGUCAAGAAUUAAUUGUUAAUUAAUUUUGUGGCUAAAAGAGAUUAAUUAAACUUAGGGGACUGAAGUUGUAAUUAUAAGAUAAUUAUAAUUGGGCUAUGGAUCACCAAAUAAUAUAUAGGUUGGACGAAUUCUAUGGGUAGCCCAUUAGAAAUCGUCCAAGGGAUAUGUUUAAGGAGUCCAUGGGCUGCUUAGGGCCUAAGCAGUCAAAUUAGGGUUUCCUAGUUGUAAACCCUAAUAGCCUACAUGUAUAUAAAGGGCCCCUAUGCCCCAAAAACGUGAAUAAGUCUUCCAUUAGGGUUUCCAGCCGUUUUUGGUGCCUCCCUUUCUUCUCCUCUUCAUCCAAGUUGCAUAUGGUGUUUGUGACUCCAUUAGAGGUACUACACUUGUGGUACUUGCUUUCAAGAGCUAAGGAAAUUCAAGGAACUAGUUGUUAUUGCUAUAUAACAACAAAAGGUAUGUAUUCUAGCUUUAUAUAUGAAUUUCGAAAAUUAUAGUAGCAUGCCAGGUUUCUUUUUGUGUUCAUAAAGCUGUAUAACUAAUAGUGAAAACAUAGAUCCAAUACUAGGGUUGCAUGCACACAUAGGAUUGUUUGUAUUAAACCCAUCAGUGGUAUCAGAGCCAUUGGUUUUUGUUUUCAAUUAGCUUUUAUUCAAAUUUAUGAACUUGACAUAUUAGGGUUUAUGGCUAAUGAACCCUAAAGGCUAGGUAUUUUUCGCAAUUAGGGUUGCUAAACCCUAGAUGGCGAUUUUUGCUAGGGUUUCCCAAAUCCUUUCCUUAGCCUCCAAGAUUUUGAAAUCUAGGGUUUUCCAACCCUUGGAUUUCGAAAUUACCUCCUUCCCCAAGGUUAGAUCCUAAAUUUUAGGGAUUUGGAUAAUCCCAUAUCUUGUAAUUAUCUUUUAAUUGUUAAAUAUGGUAAUUAAAGAUCUUGAAUUAUCCCAUCCCUUAUUUUCGAGAUUUAGAGAGGGAUUCAAGGGAUUUGGAUAUCUUAGAUGUAUAAUUGGUAAUUAUCCUCAUGAUCUAGAUAAUCCCUUGUGAUUUAAUAAUUUAAAUUAAUUGUUUAAUUUAUGGUAAUUAUUAAAUCAACAGUUUUAAUAUUUAAAAUUUUAAUUUAAAUGUCUCAAAUUCAAAAUUUUAAGUGAGAUUAAAACCUAAUUGUUUUGAAGAGUUUCAAAACUUGCCCUCAAGUUUUGGAAUUUAAAUUGUUGAUUAAAAGUUAAUUUUGAAAGUCUAAAAUCCAAAACCCUGAUUUUGAAAAGUUCAAAUUAAACCCUUAUGGUUUUAUUAAAUUAAUUAAGUGUAUAAUUAAAAGAGAUUUAAUAAAUCCAUAAUGAUUUUGGUUAAUUAAAAGUAUAAUUUAAACCACCUAGUAUUUUAAAAGUGUAAAAUACACCCUUAUACUAUAUAUAACAUUAAAAGUUUAAUAUUAUAUAUGUAUAACUAAAAAUUCAGUCUUACCGUUAGUAGGCCUCAUUCACGAAGCUAGUCUAUAAGGGGUGUUUAAGGAAAUUGCCUAUAAAAUGGCGAUUGAAUGGGUAUCCACUCUUACCCACCGCACUCUUGACUAGUGGAGGGUCGUUAGCCGAACGGGUAGGAUAGGACAGAAACCUUCCAUUAUAAGUAUAAUGAAGUACAAAGUAACUAAAUGCUUUUUCAAAUUCCCAAAUCAUAGUUACUUUAGGCAAAAUGUGAAAUUGUAUGCUAACCCAUGGAAUUACACUUCGUACCCUUGUCAAACGUUAGUGGAGCGUGUGUGGUUAACCGGCACACUAAUUUGGGGAUGACAUUGGUAGCGAAGGGUGACUCGAUGUUUGUCAUAGAUCAAUGGAGCGUGUGUGGCUAACCGGCACAUUGAUUAGGUGAUAGUAGCAUUGGGUGCACCACGUGAUUCGUAUGGUUAUUCACACCUUGUUUGUGAUCCUCGGCAUCCCAGUCACAAAUAGUAGGGCAUAAUCGAGAUUAAACAUGCCAUUGAAAAGUUCAAUGAAUCUCAAAAGAUCUAGGAGUUUCAAUUCAUUUAAAACUUAAUCUUCCUUUUCGUUUUUCAUGGUGGAAAUUGGUAAAUCGUCAUUUACCUACCUUCAAAUAUUUUGCAACUAGAUUACGGCAUCCCUCUUCUAGGUUGUAGAGUAUUGUGUUGGAUCCUAGCUUGAUGUUUCAUUUGGGUGUUACAUCAAGAAUUCUAAUCAACUUAACUUGAAUUUUCUCCCGUUUUGUAGAUGUCUGAAUCUUACAAUGGUCUUCCCAAAUCCUUUGGAACAAGCUUUCCAAAUGAAGAUGACGUUCCGAGAUACGAUCAAGGAAAUGAGAGUCAUGCUUCACUUCCUCCACCUCCUCCAAUUGUUCUCCCUGACCCACAAGUUCAAAGGCUUGAAAAGUUCAAGCUCACUCAAGCCCUUUUGGCAAGUAAACACGAAGAUGGGAAACCUGUGUGUGCACACGUCUUAGAGAUGAAGUCACACAUUGAUAGGUUAAGCAUGUUGGGUGUCGAGAUUUCAAGCGAGUUGGCUGCUGACUGGGUUCUUCAGUCACUUCCUGAAUCAUAUAGUGAGUUCGUUAGAGAGUACUAUAUGAUGGAUCACGACGUGACCCUCAUUAAUCUCACCUAUUUGCUUAUAGCUGCUGAAUCAGCAAUGAUUUGGCGUGCUGGUCAAGCAAAUUUGUCUGGUGAAUCAAACUCCCAAACUUCAAUGGACACUGGCAACAUUGGAAGUCCAGAAAGAACUAAGUCUGUGAUUGUCCGAUGUGCUGUGCCAAAGGAGUCCAUUUGCUUUUAUUGCCAAGAGAAGGGGCAUUGGAGACGAAGCUGCCCUAACUACCUGAGAGAUCUAAGAGAUGGGAGAGUCAAGACGUAUGGCUCUGCUUCAGGUAAAAUCCAUUAUCUAACUCUUUUGAGUUCCUAUUCUAGAUUCUUAAUACAUGAUGUGAUAAGAUUACAUUUUGAUGUUUUGUAGGAUCGAAGAAAAGAGAGGAAGCUUGAGGGAAGAAGUGAGCUGAAUCUAAUCAUGAAGAAAUGGAUUUCGAUCGCAUUACUUGAAGAAUGGAUUCUUGAGCUACUACUUGGAGUUAGAAUAGAUUGUUAAGAAAUAUGUAAUAACAUAGUUUUUCAAUUGAAUUGCAUUGUAAGGACAAAUUUUUUCCGCAAUAAAAUGAAUUUUGAUUUUAUCUUAUUUAUUUAUCCUUGCAAUGGCAUGUAUGAAAAAAUUGAUGUUUGAAUGUUUCUAUUAUUAGCAAUAAUGGAUUUGAUUCUUAAUUAUGUUAUUUGUGGAAAUGUCAAAAGUUUACCAAAUAGGGAGAGUUUCUCAUCGCCCAAGUUUCAAUUGGACAGAAACUUGGAAUCAUGCAAUGUGUAUUGUAUGAUGAAUGAAAAACUUUCACAUUUGGGAAACUUAGACUAAUUCUUUGACAAAGUGUCAAUUGAAGGACUAGGAGAUCAAGUACACUAGGUUGUGCGUUGAUCAAGUCCACCACAAGAGUGACAAAGAUAUUCGUCAUGAUUUACUAAAGUUUAGUAAAUAUGAUUAUACUUAUAAGAUUAAGUGUAAUUCUGAGUUGAUUGAAAGAGUUUCAAUGAAUAGUAGAACGAAUAAAGAAGAAUCAAGUAGGCAGAAAGAUAAAAGUUUCUCCAUUCUAAGAAGAAGGGAGAGUACCUUUUAUUGUGUUUUAUGAUAAGUCUUAAUGAUUAAGAACCAUGUCUCAAUUGAUCCUCUAAGUGAGUCUUAGUGCAAUUGCAUGUCUAAGAAGAGGAAUCGAGAAUUGUAGAAAUGGUUAAAUCAAAGAGUCAAUCAUACUUCGUUCCAAUAUCAAGUCUUAGAGUCAUACUCCAAGAUUGUGACAUUGAGUGACAAGUCUUAAGUAGGUUUAUAACACUCAUCAAAUGUGGAAUUUGGAAAAGUUUUCUUAUUCUUGCACAUUAGAAAUUGGUAAGUUGUGAUGUCUUGGAUAAGACAAAGACCAACUAGGACCAAUUUGUGAAGUGUUUUGUCUUGAUAAGAACUACACUAACUCUUGAAUAUUUGCUUUGUCAAGAAAUGUUUCUUGACAAGAGAAUCUUAUAUGUCAAGGAGUCAGUGGGAGUCUUAAUGGUCUUGAAAGGUUUCAAGAACAAAUCAAGAAUAAACCUUAUCGAUCAUCACUAGCACACGACUUGAGGUUUACAACCUAUCGUGCUGACAUUAUUUUGUUUCUGUGCCAUUCCAAUUGAGUUAAUUGUGUAUGUGAGUUCUAUGAGUUCUCAUUUGAAUGCAUACUAGAGCCUUAGUCGAUGGAAAGUACAUUGAUAUGUAAGGACAAGUUACUAAACUACUUGGAAGACAUGGUGGGCACUCGUGUUACCAUAAGGCAAGAAAUCAAGAUUAAGAAAGUUCAGUCCAUAUGAGUUUGGAUUUGUCGCAAACCUUGGUUUUGGCAAAUUCACAUGGAUAGGAACUCAUACACCAUAAAAUCUAAGUGUCAUAAGAUUCCCUCCUUCAUGAAAAUGACUGUGAGGAAAUGCUUUCACUAAGAGAGAUUUUAAGAAGAUAGCGAUUGUGAAAAUUGUAUUCUCAAAUUCGAUUAUGGUUACGGCAUCCCUUUCCAUAGUUCGAAUUGUGAGAUUUGGCAAUUAGUUUGAACAUUUGGAACUUAGUAACAUAAGUUCUGAAUUGUUUAAACACACAUAUGAGCUAUCUAAGACAAAGGUGUAUAAGGUUAAGAAGCCUAGAUAAAGGCUUAUCGAAGCAUCUGGUAUUAGAAAUAUGAAUUUCAGAAAUUCAAUAGGCAUUGUUUUCUGAAAGUUCAUUUGUUUUCUGAAUACAUGUCAAAGCUAGUGGGAGCAUAAGUGUUAUGCUUAUAUGAUAAUAAUCAUCAUGAUAGUGGGAGCAUAAGUGUUAUGCUUGUAUGAUUAUUAUGGCGAGUAUUGCAAGUUAGCAAUAUUAAUUAUAGAAAAACAAAGAUUCAAUUUGCAAAGUUGCAUGGGUUGAAAAGUUGUUUUGAUAUAAUUAAGGGAGAGAAUAUUAUACUUCGUUUCAAAAUCUAAAGCUUAGAUUGAGAAAUUUUAAUAUUUUCAGUCAAAGGAUACAUUGUGUGUUCUUAAAAUUCGAUUAUGAUUACGGCAUCCCUCUUCAUAGUUCGAAUUGUGAGAACAUGACACAUAAAAUAUUAUGGCAAAAGAUUGGUAAAGUAUCAUAUCUUUAUGUAAGACAUUAUGCAUCGUGUCCCAUACGCUUCGGGUAUAGGAUCGAUUGCAAAUGCUAUAAUAUUUUACCAUUCUAAAAUUUUCCAAAUGUCUAGCGCAUUAAGAGGGAAAAAGGAAUAGAAUUGGUUUUGACUAAAAUAAUUUAACAACUAUCAAAGGAUGAUCCAAAGUUCGCUGAGGAUUGAUCGCUUGUGAGUAGUUGGAAGUAUGGUAUUGGAUGGACCAUAUCGACAUUAUUAUGAAUAGAUAAGAUUCUAUUAAGAAUGAGUUGUCAUAUGGCAAAUGUGGAAAUGUUUCCAUAUUGGGAGUUGGAUAUUGAGAUUCUAUGCCUAGAUUAGAAACUUUUAUGCAAGAAGGAUGUUCAAAGGAAUGUACUUUGAAUGUGAGACUUCACAUCUAUGGAAUUGUCUUGUAACAAUUUCUAAGAAAGCACUUUGUAAUUUCAUUAGCCAAGUCUUGGUGACUUUUGUGCUAUGACUUUACGAAAGGAUCGUUGCGUAAAAUGUUAGAAUCUAGCAUAUUCUAGUAGUGGCAAGAACCUUGUGUUCUUACACUAAUAAUUAGGAUUAAGGAAUUGUGAAAUGAGCAUCAUUGGAAAAGUUUUCAGGUGAUCUAUUUCACAAAGCAUGGACCAUAGGAAACAAAGUGUGCAUGUUUAGAGCAUGGGACAAUUGUUGGUAUAAUUCAAGUAAUGAGUUGAUUAUCCGAAACAUUAAAUGAUAAAUAAUGAGUAAUCAAUAUGGUGGAUAAAUAGAAGGGUUUUAUUUACUCUCACAAGUUUGGGGCCAUAUAGGAUUAAGUAUUGUUGUCAUGUUUCAAUUUGCAUGUUUUGACUUCCAGAAUAACUAGGUUAUUCAAACAUCCACAGUUGGUCAUACGUUGGGAGUAGGUAUGAAUAAAGACUGUCAUGAAUCUGUCUGUAGAUUGUCUGAAGUGUUUAGACAUGGCACAAGUUUGCUGCAGAGUUCGUGAGUGCUUUGAUAAGAUUAAAGUAUUGGAUUAAACCCACGCUCACUUGGAUCACUUCACGGUUUUAUCACGAGUGAUUAGUGAGACGAUAAUAUUGUAUAUUCUUGAAACCGAGACGUGUGAGUUGUUAUUUGUUGGUCAGUUACACAUUGAUAAUAAGUAAACGCACCAGUAACUUGGUGUUAUAAAACUUAUUGUUGUGUGUGAUUCGAUCAGUAAAUGCAAGCGAGCAUUUGAGUCGAAGUUUAUCCAUUCCUUUUACCCAAAGUGGGAUAAAAGCGAUAUAUGUGGGCCUCUCGAUGAUUUAGUGAUGACAUCUAAGCGCUUGGCCAAGCCGGGACUAAGUUGAUGUGUUCAAUUGUAGUCUGUUAUCAGUCGUCAUGAAUCGGAAGUCGGGAAAAAGUAUAGAGAGAAUGAUUGAAAUUCAUGUCUUUUGUCUAUACGAUAUCUUGAGAAUGGAGGAAUAUAUAAUCCCUUAUCUAGAGGACACGCUAUCUGAUAAGAUCAGAGUUGACAGCGGCUUUUGAAAGCUACGAUUGCUGAUCAGGUUCUGAAGUCAUACGGAAAAUAGUUAUUAGACUUAUCCAAGUGGGAGACUGUUGGAUUAGUGUCUAAGUCCAUAACUAUUUUGGUAUGUACUUGACCCGAUUAUGAGCAUGGUCCUUUUGGGUUGCCUUCACCAUAGCAAUAUGUAGGAUGAUUUAAGGAGAGAAAGGUUUAAAUAUGAUUUAUAUAUAUUAUGAGAAUGAUAUAUAUUAAAGGAGAAAUCAUAUUGUUUAAUUAAUAUUAGUCAAGAAUUAAUUGUUAAUUAAUUUUGUUGCUAAAAGAGAUUAAUUAAACUUAGGGGACUGAAGUUGUAAUUAUAAGAUAAUUAUAAUUGGGCUAUGGAUCACCAAAUAAUAUAUAGGUUGGACGAAUUCUAUGGGUAGCCCAUUAGAAAUCGUCCAAGGGAUAUGUUUAAGGAGUCCAUGGGCUGCUUAGGGCCUAAGCAGUCAAAUUAGGGUUUCCUAGUUGUAAACCCUAAUAGCCUACAUGUAUAUAAAGGGCCCCUAUGCCCCAAAAACGUGAAUAAGUCUUCCAUUAGGGUUUCCAGCCGUUUUUGGUGCCUCCUUUUCUUCUCCUCUUCAUCCAAGUUGCAUAUGGUGUUUGUGACUCCAUUAGAGGUACUACACUUGUGGUACUUGCUUUCAAGAGCUAAGGAAAUUCAAGGAACUAGUUGU
rnacentral:lncRNA from 1 species